rnacentral:sRNA from 1 species
UUUUUUUCUUCUUCUUCUUCCUU